GACGAACGCUGGCGGCGUGCUUAACACAUGCGAGUCGAACGGAAAGGCCCUGCUUUUGUGGGGUGCUCGAGUGGCGAACGGGUGAGUAACACGUGAGUAACCUGCCCUUGACUUUGGGAUAACUUCAGGAAACUGGGGCUAAUACCGGAUAGGAGCUCCUGCUGCAUGGUGGGGGUUGGAAAGUUUCGGCGGUUGGGGAUGGACUCGCGGCUUAUCAGCUUGUUGGUGGGGUAGUGGCUUACCAAGGCUUUGACGGGUAGCCGGCCUGAGAGGGUGACCGGCCACAUUGGGACUGAGAUACGGCCCAGACUCCUACGGGAGGCAGCAGUGGGGAAUAUUGCACAAUGGGCGGAAGCCUGAUGCAGCAACGCCGCGUGCGGGAUGACGGCCUUCGGGUUGUAAACCGCCUUCGCCUGGGACGAAGCGUGAGUGACGGUAAUGGGUAAAGAAGCACCGGCUAACUACG
rnacentral:rRNA from 1 species